UACGUAGGGUGCGAGCGUUAAUCGGAAUUACUGGGCGUAAAGGGCGCGUAGGCGGUCAUGCAAGUGAGAUGUGAAAUCCCCGGGCUCAACCUGGGAACUGCAAUGGAAACUGGCGGGCUUGAAUGCGGCAGAGGGGGGUGGAAUUCCGCGUGUAGCAGUGAAAUGCGUAGAGAUGCGGAGGAACACCGAUGGCGAAGGCAGCCCCCUGGGCCGACAUUGACGCUCAGGCACGAAAGCGUGGGGAGCAAACAGG
rnacentral:rRNA from 1 species